UACGGGGGGGGGCAAGCGUUGUUCGGAAUUACUGGGCGUAAAGGGCUCGUAGGCGGCCAACUAAGUCAGACGUGAAAUCCCUCGGCUUAACCGGGGAACUGCGUCUGAUACUGGAUGGCUUGAGUUUGGGAGAGGGAUGCGGAAUUCCAGGUGUAGCGGUGAAAUGCGUAGAUAUUGGGAAGAACACCGGUGGCGUAGGCGACUAGCUGGGCUGUAACUGACGCUGAGGAACGAAAGCCAGGGGAGCGAAUGGG
rnacentral:rRNA from 1 species